rnacentral:rRNA from 1 species
AGCGAACGCUGGCGGCAGGCCUAACACAUGCAAGUCGAACGAACCUUUCGGGGUUAGUGGCGGACGGGUGAGUAACACGUGGGAACGUGCCUUUAGGUUCGGAAUAACUCAGGGAAACUUGUGCUAAUACCGAAUGUGCCCUUCGGGGGAAAGAUUUAUCGCCUUUAGAGCGGCCCGCGUCUGAUUAGCUAGUUGGUUGAGGUAAUGGCUCACCAAGGCGACGAUCAGUAGCUGGUCUGAGAGGAUGAUCAGCCACAUUGGGACUGAGACACGGCCCAAACUCCUACGGGAGGCCGCAGUGGGGAAUCUUGCGCAAUGGGCGAAAGCCUGACGCAGCCAUGCCGGGUGAAUGAUGAAGGUCUUAGGAUUGUAAAAUUCUUUCACCGGGGACGAUAAUGACGGUACCCGGAGAAGAAGCCCCGGCUAACUUCGUG